rnacentral:rRNA from 1 species
GACGAACGCUGGCGGCGUGCCUAAUACAUGCAAGUAGGACGCUGAAGGAGGAGCUUGCUCUUCUGGAUGAGUUGCGAACGGGUGAGUAACGCGUAGGUAACCUGCCUGGUAGCGGGGGAUAACUAUUGGAAACGAUAGCUAAUACCGCAUAAGAGUAGAUGUUGCAUGACAUUUGCUUAAAAGGUGCAAUUGCAUCACUACCAGAUGGACCUGCGUUGUAUUAGCUAGUUGGUGGGGUAACGGCUCACCAAGGCGACGAUACAUAGCCGACCUGAGAGGGUGAUCGGCCACACUGGGACUGAGACACGGCCCAGACUCCUACGGGAGGCAGCAGUAGGGAAUCUUCGGCAAUGGACGGAAGUCUGACCGAGCAACGCCGCGUGAGUGAAGAAGGUUUUCGGAUCGUAAAGCUCUGUUGUAAGAGAAGAACGAGUGUGAGAGUGGAAAGUUCACACUGUGACGGUAUCUUACCAGAAAGGGACGGCUAACUACGUG